GACGAACGCUGGCGGCGUGCUUAACACAUGCAAGUCGAACGGAAAGGCCCUGCUUUUGUGGUGUGCUCGAGUCGCGAACGUGUGUGUAACACGUGAGUACCCUGCCGUUGUUUUUGGUAUAACUUCAGGACAGUGGGGCUUAUCCGGGAUAGGAGCUCCUGCUGCAGGGUGGGGGUUGGAUUGUUUCGGCGGUUGGGGACGGACGGGCGGCUAGUCGGCUUGUUGGGGGGGUAGUGGCUUACCAAGGCUGUGAUGGGUAGCCGGCCGGGGGGGGUGACCGGCCACAUGGGGAUUGGAAUACGGCCCAACCCCCUACGGGAGGCAGCAGGGGGAAAAAUGGCACAAGGGGCGGAGGCCGGUGGCAGCAACGCCGCGUGCGGGAUGACGGCCUUCGGGUGGUAAACCGCUUUCGCAGGGGACGAAGCGUGAGGGACGGUAACCGGUAAAGGAGCACCGGCUAACUACGUG
rnacentral:rRNA from 1 species